GACGAACGCUGGCGGCGUGCUUAACACAUGCAAGUCGAACGGAAAGGCCCCUUUGGGGGUACUCGAGUGGCGAACGGGUGAGUAACACGUGAGUAACCUGCCCUUGACUUCGGGAUAACUUCAGGAAACUGGGGCUAAUACCGGAUAGGAAUCCUUGCUGCAUGGUGGGGGUUGGAAAGCUUCGGCGGUUUUGGAUGGACUCGCGGCUUAUCAGCUUGUUGGUGGGGUAGUGGCUUACCAAGGCUUUGACGGGUAGCCGGCCUGAGAGGGCGACCGGCCACAUUGGGACUGAGAUACGGCCCAGACGCCUACGGGAGGCAGCAGGGGGGAAUAUUGCACAAUGGGCGGAAGCCUGAUGCAGCAACGCCGCGUGCGGGAGGACGGCCUUCGGGUUGUAAACCGCUUUCAGCAGGGGCGAAGCUUGUGGUGACGGUACCUGCAGAAGAAGCACCGGCUAACUACGUG
rnacentral:rRNA from 1 species